rnacentral:sRNA from 7 species
AUAUCUCUCCGUACGGGAAGGAUGAGAAGCUUCGACUAAGGUUCGAUUCGAGCGCAGCGAGAAAGCGUUGCCGCAGGCAACGACCCGAAGGGUGAAGCGCGCAGCGCUGAGUCAUCCUUCCCCCACCACCA